AACGCACAUUGCGCCCUCUGGUAUUCCGGAGGGCAUGCCUGUUUGAGUGUCAUUAAUCUCUCACAAGACCUUCUUGGUCUCUGCUGAUGUUGGGAUGUGCGACCCCCUCCGGGGACGCUCUCCUCAAAUGAAUUGGUGCGGCCCGCCGCCCGGUUACACAACGUUCUAGGUUCGUCCAACUCGUUGCUUGACUGGCGCAACUUUGGUGCUGCACCUAAAGCCCGCCUUGUGCCUUGUGCUCUUGGCUACUUCAUUUAUUGACCUCAGAUCAGGUAGGAAUACGCGCUGAACUUAA
rnacentral:misc_RNA from 1 species